GGCGAGAUGGCCGAGCGGUCUAAGGCGCUACGUUAAGGCAUUCCUUAAUAACAUCAUCAUCUCUUCUCGAGAUCCUGAUUCCGUAGUCCGAAAGGGCGUGGGUUCGAAUCCCACUCUCGUCA